CGAACGGAGAUUAUACGCAGAGGCGAUUUCGGUCAAAUCAUGUAAAAUCUUAGUGGCGGACGGGUGAGUAACGCGUGGGUAACCUGCCUUACACUGGGGGAUAACACUUAGAAAUAGGUGCUAAUACCGCAUAAGCGCACGAAGCCGCAUGGAUUUGUGUGAAAAACUCCGGUGGUGUAAGAUGGACCCGCGUCUGAUUAGCUUGUUGGCGGGGUAACGGCCCACCAAGGCGACGAUCAGUAGCCGGCCUGAGAGGGUGGACGGCCACAUUGGGACUGAGACACGGCCCAAACUCCUACGGGAGGCAGCAGUGGGGGAUAUUGGACAAUGGGGGGAACCCUGAUCCAGCGACGCCGCGUGAGUGAAGAAGUAUUUCGGUAUGUAAAGCUCUGUCAGCAGGGAAGAAAGAAAUGGCGGUACCUGACCAAGAAGCCCCGGCUAACUACGUGCCAGCAGCCGCGGUAAUACGUAGGGGGCAAGCGUUAUCCGGAAUUACUGGGUGUAAAGGGAGCGUAGACGGUUAAGUAAGUCUGGAGUGAAAGGCCGGGGCCCAACCCCGGGACUGCUCUGGAAACUAUUCAACUUGAGUGCAGGAGAGGUAAGCGGAAUUCCUAGUGUAGCGGUGAAAUGCGUAGAUAUUAGGAGGAACACCAGUGGCGAAGGCGGCUUACUGGACUGUAACUGACGUUG
rnacentral:rRNA from 1 species